rnacentral:rRNA from 1 species
CACGUAGGGUGCGAGCGUUGUCCGGAAUUACUGGGCGUAAAGAGCUCGUAGGUGGUUUGUCGCGUUGUCCGUGAAAACUCACAACUCAAUUGUGGGCGUGCGGGCGAUACGGGCAGACUGGAGUACUGCAGGGGAGACUGGAAUUCCUGGUGUAGCGGUGGAAUGCGCAGAUAUCAGGAGGAACACCGGUGGCGAAGGCGGGUCUCUGGGCAGUAACUGACGCUGAGGAGCGAAAGCGUGGGGAGCGAACAGG